UCGAACGAUGAUGCCCAGCUUGCUGGGUGGAUUAGUGGCGAACGGGUGAGUAACACGUGAGUAACCUGCCCCUGACUCUGGGAUAAGCGUUGGAAACGACGUCUAAUACUGGAUAUGAUCACUGGCCGCAUGGUCUGGUGGUGGAAAGAUUUUUUGGUUGGGGAUGGACUCGCGGCCUAUCAGCUUGUUGGUGAGGUAAUGGCUCACCAAGGCGACGACGGGUAGCCGGCCUGAGAGGGUGACCGGCCACACUGGGACUGAGACACGGCCCAGACUCCUACGGGAGGCAGCAGUGGGGAAUAUUGCACAAUGGGCGAAAGCCUGAUGCAGCAACGCCGCGUGAGGGAUGACGGCCUUCGGGUUGUAAACCUCUUUUAGUAGGGAAGAAGCGAAAGUGACGGUACCUGCAGAAAAAGCACCGGCUAACUACGUGCCAGCAGCCGCGGUAAUACGUAGGGUGCAAGCGUUGUCCGGAAUUAUUGGGCGUAAAGAGCUCGUAGGCGGUUUGUCGCGUCUGCUGUGAAAUCCCGAGGCUCAACCUCGGGCUUGCAGUGGGUACGGGCAGACUAGAGUGCGGUAGGGGAGAUUGGAAUUCCUGGUGUAGCGGUGGAAUGCGCAGAUAUCAGGAGGAACACCGAUGGCGAAGGCAGAUCUCUGGGCCGUAACUGACGCUGAGGAGCGAAAGCAUGGGGAGCGAACAGGAUUAGAUACCCUGGUAGUCCAUGCCGUAAACGUUGGGCGCUAGAUGUAGGGACCUUUCCACGGUUUCUGUGUCGUAGCUAACGCAUUAAGCGCCCCGCCUGGGGAGUACGGCCGCAAGGCUAAAACUCAAAGGAAUUGACGGGGGCCCGCACAAGCGGCGGAGCAUGCGGAUUAAUUCGAUGCAACGCGAAGAACCUUACCAAGGCUUGACAUACACCGGAAACGGCCAGAGAUGGUCGCCCCCUUGUGGUCGGUGUACAGGUGGUGCAUGGUUGUCGUCAGCUCGUGUCGUGAGAUGUUGGGUUAAGUCCCGCAACGAGCGCAACCCUCGUUCUAUGUUGCCAGCGGGUUAUGCCGGGGACUCAUAGGAGACUGCCGGGGUCAACUCGGAGGAAGGUGGGGAUGACGUCAAAUCAUCAUGCCCCUUAUGUCUUGGGCUUCACGCAUGCUACAAUGGCCGGUACAAAGGGCUGCGAUACCGUAAGGUGGAGCGAAUCCCAAAAAGCCGGUCUCAGUUCGGAUUGAGGUCUGCAACUCGACCUCAUGAAGUCGGAGUCGCUAGUAAUCGCAGAUCAGCAACGCUGCGGUGAAUACGUUCCCGGGCCUUGUACACACCGCCCGUCAAGUCAUGAAAGUCGGUAACACCCGAAGCCG
rnacentral:rRNA from 1 species